UGAUAGAGUUCUAACGUUGUAUGUAGC
rnacentral:sRNA from 1 species